rnacentral:snRNA from 1 species
GUGCUUGCUUCAGCAGCACAUAUGCUAAAAUUGGAACCAUACAGAGAUUAGCAUGGUCCCUGUGCAAGGAUGACACGCACAUGUGUGAAAUAUUCGAUAUUUCU